AACAAGGAAACAAUUAAGCAACAUGGUAUGUGAAUGAGGAAAGAAAAAUAAGACAAGGGAAAUAGGAGUAGUAUAAAAUAUAGAAGGCCAUCAUGGAAUAUUUCUCGGAAAUCUAAUCUAUAAGUGGAAAGAUGCAAUCCUUUUUUUUCACUGCGAAAUUUUUUUUAUGAAGUGGAAGGAUUCUUGCAGAAAAUAGGUAGCAUGUCAUUAAAAUGACAACAUGUAAAGGCCGCAAAAGUUCAUGACUAUAUUAUACAAGAAGAGAACUACUUCAAGGCCCCUGAAGAAGAGCAAGAGCUUAAGGAUAGAGAGAGGUGGAGAAUAUUAGGAUAAAGUUUUAUUAUUAUUAUUAUUUUUGUUAGUGCAACAGUUUUAUAGAGCUCCUGAGUAAAUAUAUCGACCAACAUCAGUUAUAAAAAUAUCCCGUAGCCUCUGUGACGUCUCCUAAAAUACAGACCCAUUAAGGUUAAGCUUCUGCUGCUUCUCUUCAUGAAUAGAGUUCUUUUGAAAAAUGCAUAAGUUUCGCUAUCAACAAUGUAAAAGAUUGGUGAGGAGAGAGGAUUAAAUCCAGGGGUAGAUAUGGAUCAUUGAUGGAGAGAUAUGGUUGGUGGGAAGGCUUAUAUCUUAGUCCUUAGAGGGUAAGUUUAAAGGUUUAAUUUUUAAUUUUUAUUUAUCCGUGUCGGUGGACAAGGAUGAUGCCAUUUUCUGGAAGCUAGAAGUGCGUUGGGACGGGUGAUAUGUAAAUAAAACGAUAGAAAUAAAUGUAUAGAUACAGUUAUACAUGAAUGAAAAGGUGCAAGAUAUAUCAUCAGUAACCUAUGUUUUCUUGGUAGUAUAUGGUUGUUUUGUUAACUUUGACCUUUUGUGUAGUAAAUUUUUUUUUUGACUUUGUCAUGGAAGUUUUUGACUUUUAUGGAAGUUCUUGUGUGCUAAUGUUUGACUUGUUAAUGGAAUCAUGGGCUCUAUAACUCUUAAUUCACUAAAAUUACAAUCGUUACUUUGGGCUGGAUAUUUUGGAGUUUUUUUUUUUGGUGAAACAUAUUUUGGAGUUUGGUUAGGAGAUAUGAGAAUAAAGAAGAACGAAAUUUUGACAAUUGAUUUGGAUGAGGGGAAGAAUAUUUUGAGAUAUUGGAACAAAUGCAAGACAAAAAUCAAAGGAUACACAUCAUUUGACUAAUUUGCUAGAAAUAACUACUUCGAAAAUGAAAAUCUUUAUUUUCAAAAAAAAGAAAACAAAAAAAAACAGGAACCAGAGAAUUUCCCAAUGGCACGAAAGAAGGUAAAGAAAGUAAAGAAUGACUUGAAGAUUUUAUUCGACAACUAUUUCUUUAUUUCAAUUCCUUCUCAAAACAAAUAUUUUUACGUCGCUGGACGAAAACUACUACUCAAUCCAAUUUCCUGCAUUUGAGGAUAUGGAGGAACCAAACAUCUAUGAAAUAGUCUGGUCCUAAACAUUACUAGAUGUAGUUCGCCUAAGGAACACUAUCACAUAUGGUUUCAGUCCAAACUCAAACCUUCACUAAGAAUUUAUGCGCGACCUGUAGGCCUAGGGUACGUCUCUUAGCCAAUGGUACAGCACGAAUUCAUGUCACAACUGGUUAAAGUGAACCAAUCAGUGGUUGGGCCAGAGGGGGAAAAAAAAACCUUCCUCCUAAAAUCUGCAAGUAAUGAUGCUGAAAGCAAACUAAAGUUAAGGUUUGAACAGACCACGGAAUAUCAACAGCACUAGCUCGAUCUAUAUGCAGGCCAGAGGCCGGCAACAUUGCAAUCUGGUACGUUUGAUUAGUACUGCUGCCUCCGUUGAUUUUUCUAGCAAAUCUAAUUUUCAUGCUGGUUGUUAAAAGAGGAGAAUGAGAGAAAAAAGUUAUAUAUCUAUCUAUGGACUGGAGCAACCUUUAUAUAGACUAGGAGGCCGAUGAAAUUUGGUAAGGUAAAUUUGGCACAAUGUCCUACAAAAAUUUUAACACUGGUGAUCAACCGGGUGAAAGCCAAUAAGGUCAUCAAAAUGUCCCCAUAAAUAAGGCCGUUAAAGAAGCAGUAGUGUACAUACUACAUAGAGGCCUCGUUAUAUUAAUUAAUUGCUGUGUUCUCUUAUAGCCAACUAACGGCAAUCUUUUUGUCUAUUAGACCAGAACUUAGUCUAAUAAGGAAUAGAAUUAUCUUUGUAACUGUAAGUAUGAGUCAUUAUAAUAGAAAAUAAAAAAAAAUGUAUUAUUUGUGCAAAUCACUGCCGACCAAAUAACUAAUUAAUAUGAAGGAAUUAAACAACGACAACUGUGAUCAAACAAGAAAAGAAAUAAAAAUCACUAUUUAGAAGUUCAUUGUGUAUAUAAUUAACAAAAAUGAGGCAUCCGUGAUACUCGAUGUUCUAAUCUUUGUAGUGCAUCAAAGAAAGAUUUCAAACAAAAAACGUCCACUCGGUAAUUGGCAUCACAUGCCAACCGACAGCCUCCUGGGCUUCAUUUCUCUGCAUGGAGGUUGCCAACAAACGAUCAAACCAAAUUGGAGUUGUUGACUAAACUCCCGGAAGAUAGGGCGUUCUAUAAGGCGAGGAGGAGCAAACCUUGCUUGGGUGUCAGAAGCUGGAGCAGAGGAGCUUUACGUUCCUUCCCAUGGGAAGGCUUCUUGCUCAAAUGAGUAUUCCAUUGAGAAAGAUGAUGCUCCGUGCUCUCCCAGAGUACUGCGGGCUUUAAAAUGAAAUACUCAUUUGGGCAAGAUGUCUUGCAUGGAAGGUGGCAAACAAACCAACCAGGGUCUUUCUUGCUCAUCUUCCAAGUUACCAUUGAAUUCUCCAUUUCAUUUGUUCUGUAUCUCAUUCAUCUGGUAUUCUCCUCAUUAGUAUUGUUUUCCCGGUAAAGUGCGUGUUAAUCUAUUUGAGGAUACCUCCUCCACAUGAUUCCAUUCUUCGUGUCAGUUACAGACUGGAUACUCAUCGUCCCAGUCGACAAUUUCUAGAAGAACAAGAAAACCAAAAUAUCUACUCAAGAACAUUGCAAAUUCUACCUCAAAGAUCUUGGCGCACCGUGAUGCGUUCGGUGGCAGGGACUUGAUAUUGUUUAAAAAAACUUAUAUCACAUCAGAGACAAGAUUUCUUUUUUAAACAUCUAAUCUUCUCAAACAUUCCUCAAGAGCAAAGGCUUUUGUGUGUGUGUGUGGACAGAUAAUCUUCUAUACUUGCUGCUCAUGUCCGACAGUACCUCUUGUGGCUCGACCAAAAGAGACUGCCUCUGUACUUCAUAUAGAUAGAUAGAUAGAUAGAUAGUAGAUAAAUAGUAUUAAGGCCUGACCUGCAGGUCUUCUUUCAGAGUGGUUGAAUGGUGGAUGGCAGGAGGAACAUCUCAUCCACCGAUGGAACAGGAGAGAAGCAUGCCAAAUUAGUGGGAGGACCCACAUGCCGAAGGCUAAAGGCCGUCAGCUGUAGUUCAGGUGUUGAAGGAGAUUCCACAUAAAACCGUUUCCCUUGACUGCUGUCAGAUUUUCUUAACUUGCAUUGACUGCCAAGAGUGAAAAUGGCCAUUAUGCUCUUUGAUUGUCUUC